rnacentral:rRNA from 1 species
GAAAAUUGGCCCCCAAAUCUUUACCGUGAAAAAAUUAAGGUAAGCGGCAGAUCCAUUCUCUGCCACCGAAUACAUUAGCAUGGGAUAAUGGAAUAGGACCCUGUCCUCCUAUUUUCAGUUGGUUUUGGCAGCGCGAGGACUAGGGUAAUGAUUAAUAGGGAUAGUUGGGGGCAUUAAUAUUUAAUUGUCAGAGGUGAAAUUCUUGGAUUUAUGAAAGAUUAACUUCUGCGAAAGCAUCUGCCAAGGAUGUUUUCAUUAAUCAAGAACGAAAGUUAGGGGAUCGAAGACGAUCAGAUACCGUCGUAGUCUUAACCAUAAACGAUGCCGACCAGCGAUUAGGAGACGUUGAAUACAAAACACCACCAUCGGUGCGGUCGUUCUUGGCGUCGGUUCGGCCGGCGCGGGAGCGGCUAGCCCGUACCGGUGAAUGACUCCCCUAGACUUUGGGAAAAAGA